UAAGUUUGUGAUAAGUCAGUAAUAAGG
rnacentral:piRNA from 1 species